rnacentral:rRNA from 1 species
UACGGGGGGGUAAGCGUUGUUCGGAAUUACUGGGCGUAAAGGGCUCGUAGGCGGCCAACUAAGUCAGACGUGAAAUCCCUCAGCUUAACUGGGAACUGCGUCUGAUACUGGAUGGCUUGGAUUCGGGAGAGGAAUGCGGAAUUCCAGGUGUAGCGGUGAAAUGCGUAGAUAUCGGGAGGAACACCGGUGGCGAAGGCGGCGACCUGGGUAGAUACGUGACGCUGAGGUGCGAAAGCGUGGGGAGCAACGGG